AUCUCCCGUCAAAAUGUUUGAGGCCAAGCUCGCCAACGCCGGACUCCUUAAGAAGAUCGUCGAAUCGAUCAAGGAUCUCGUCACCGAUGCUCCAUUCGAUUGCUCCGAGACGGCGAUGAGCCUUCAGGCUAUGGACUCGUCUCACGUCGCGUUGGUUUCGCUCAAGUUGGAGG
rnacentral:sRNA from 1 species